GCCGAUUUGCCAUAUCCUUCAUACUGAUAUUAAUUAAAUUAUUACAUGAUUUCUUGUUUGACUAUUAAUCAAGUUAUAGCAAGAGUGAAAUGUGUAACCUUAUGUGUGCUGUAUUUCUUUUCCUCAAGAUUAAUGUCCACAUAUUAUGUGUGUGUAUCCAACCGUAAUGAUAAGACACUCGCCAGUGCUAGAAAGCCUUGAAUUUUAGAUAAGUUCUCUGUGUACGUGUGUUAGUAUCUGUCUGUACAGGGAGAAGCUCAGACAGUCCCAGGACAAACGAUCAACUGCCAGUGUCCAGCAUAUCAGAUCUACGUCUUUGGAGAGUUUUAUCUAGGUUUUGGAACCAAUCAGAAUUUUGUUGACUCAUGUAUUGACGCAAUUAGUAUCCUCUGUCAGGGUAUAACUGUGGUUGAUUUUGUAUUGUACUGGGGGCGGCCUGCGAACUCCUUCGAGAGUGUUGAAGCUGACUUCUGCUGAUGAAAUUGCAAACUAUUUUCUUCAAUUAAUGGUGGAGGAUCGGCGGGCAAUAGUUCUUUGUUGACAUCCCUGAUCAAUCAUCAAACCAAGGUAGGAAAGAUUUUAGAUUUAAUAUUAUUGGUUAGGGACUGUCUGUAAGUGGAGGGGGUCGAGAGAAGGAGGAACGAUAGACUCACUCAGACGUGAGGGGGUAGACACCAGCUCCAGGGUGGAGUAAGGUAAAUUGGUGUCACAAUAUACCUGUAAAUAAGUAACCUUGUGAGUAUAAGGGGUACAAGUACACAUCGGUAGGUCUUGAUAUAAGAUAUUUAGAGAUGUGUACAGUUACAGAGGGAACAGGUGCACACCUAUAGGUCUUAGAGAGAGACGUAAAAUUUGUUUCUAGGUGUGCACAGUCCAGGGGGGGACAAAAACGCAUUCUUAACAGGCAUGUGAACCCGUAAAGGGCAGUGCUGGGUCAAGCACCGAGGGACAAGGGACACAUAGGGCCGUAAAUAGGCAGUGCUGGGUCAAGCACAGAGAGCCAAAAAGCACGAGAGGCCAUAAAGGGCAGUGCAUUUAUGGCCGGGUAAGCCAAAGUAGGGGUAUGGGAAAUCCCGAGAAGAAUGUAAGACGCUAGACGGGGGUUCUAGUCGUAUCUCGCUCUUCCAACUCUCGAUCACCCACCAUUACAGACAGGGGCGCCCCGAGCUUAGAAAUAGGCCAGGUCAGUGGUUAGGGAAAAGAGUAUCCAAAAUUAGUGUUUAAAAAUAAAUAGUGAUAAUUCAUAUGUGCACCUAUAAAAAUAUAGGGAUAUAUGCAAAGGGAAAGUAUUGAUUGAUCUGGGAUGCCUCAGGAACAACCCCAAAAGAGCUAAAAUGUAGUUUUCAUGACCCUGAUUGGAUUGGACCAGUAUAUGGAAAUUCUGGAAUAUACUUUGCAAUUUCAUCACGCAGAAGUCAAGUGCUGUUGGUAAGAUCGCCGCCUCAAUAUGUUUUUGGUUUAUGAUAGAAAUAUGACUGACAAAUUAGGUAACCUGGUCAGCCCUGAUAGAAAUAAUGAAACAGAAGAGAGCAAAUGCUGUAAACAGUUUGGCUCUGAAGCUCUGACUUUAAAAAUAUAUAUAUAUUCUCUGAAUUCAUUUAAAGAAUGAUCAGUCUGAGCUUUAAUUCUGAUUGUAAUGUUAAAACAAAAACUUGAUUGGCUUUAAACUUAGAAAGAACCUGAGAAAUAAACAUUUAUAAAUGUAUGUGCCGAUUUGUUAAAAAUAAUCCCAGAAGUAACUGAGUGAUGAUUUAAUCUGAUUCUCUGUGCAUAGAAGGUUUAAAUGACAAAGAAUGAUAUCAUAAGACCUGUUCCAGUUCCUAUAUAAUUGUUGAAAGUCCUGACAAGGAAUACUGAACAGAAUUCUGUGUUAGUGAAAAAAAAAAAAAAAAAAAAAAAAACUGAAGGCACACAAAUUGGCAGUGGCAUUUUGGAAAAACUUAGAAGCUUAUGUUUUGCUUUAAAAAAGAUAAAAUUACUUUGACUACAAUGACGCCGUUGUUUUAUCUCAUGCUGGCCCCCACCAUGACUCUGGCUUAAGCUUUAAAAGUACCAGAGACAUGUUCUGAGUAAAAAAAAAAAAAAUGUAAUUCCUAUAUUUACUAAUGUUUGGCCAAAAGAGUAAUUUUAUUGUU